UUGCAUUGUGUGUAUGUACCAUAGUUUGUUGGUCCAUUCAUCUGUCGAUGGGCACUUAGGUUGUUUUCAUCUUUUUGCUUUUGUGAAUAAUACUGCAGUGAACAUGGGUAUGCAUAUGUCUGUUCAUGUGAUGGCUCUUUUUUCUCCAGUAUAUGUGCCUAGGAGUGCUAUUGCUGGAUAGUAUGGCAUGUCUAUUUCUAGCUUUCUACGGAAAAGCUGUAUUGUUUUCCAAAAUGAUUGUACGAUUUUACAUUCCCAUUAGCAGCACAUUCCCACUAGCGCCAAGCUCCCUACAACUUCACCAACAUUUGCCAUUUUUUGUCUUUUUGAUUCAUGCCAAUAAUGUUGGGGUGAGAUGGUAUCUCAUUGUAGUUUUGAUUUACAUUUCUCUAAUGGCUAGUGAUCGUGAGCAUUUCCUCAUGUGUGUGUUAGUCUCCUGGAUGUCUUCUUUGGUGAAGUGUCUGUUUAUACCCUUUGCCCAUUUUUAACUAGAUUAUUAUUUUUUUUGUGUGUGGAGGUGUUGGAUUUUCCUAUAGAUUUAGAGAUUAGACCUCUGUAGGAUUUGUCAUAGCCAAAAUGCUUUUCCCAGUCUGUAGGCUCUCUUUUUACUCUUUUGUUGAAGUGUUUAAUUUUUAGAAGAUCCCAGUUAUCUGGCUCAUCUUCUCGUGUUUCUGUACUGUUAGUUAUGGUUUGUAUCCUAUUUACACCAUGUAUUAGGGCCUCCCUAUAGGACAGAGUAGAACUGCCCCCAUAGGGUUUCCAAGGAGCUGCUGGUAGAUUCAAACAUCCGACCUUUUGGUUCGUAGUUGAGCACCUAACCAUGUUGCCACUAGGGCUCCAGGGUCUCUAGUGUUGACCCUAUCUUUCCUUCUAUGAUCUUUAUAUUUUUUGGUUUUAUAUUUAGGUCUUUGAUCCAUUUUGAAUUAGUUUUCGUGUGGUCUGAGGGAUGUGUCCUGUUUAAUUUUUUGCAGAUGUCCAUCCAGUUUCAUUCACAGCAUCAUUUGUUGAAAAGAUUGUCUUUUCCUCGUUUAAUGGAUCUUGGGCUUUUUUCAAAGAUCAGGUGGCAGUAGGUAGAUGGAUAUACAUCUGGGUCCUCGAUUCUGUUCCAUGGGUCAUUGUGUCUGUCAUUGUACCAGUACCAGGCUAUUUUGACUACCAUAACUAUAUAGCAGGUUCUUAGGUCAGGUAGUUCGAGGACUCCUACUUUGCAGUUCUUCCAUAAUGUUUUACUUAUCUCAGCCUUUUCCUUUCCAUAUUAAGUUAAUGAUUAGUUUUUCCAUCUGGUUAAAGAAUGCUGUUGGUAUUAGAAUCAGGAUUGCAUUGUAUUUGUAGACUGCUUUGGGUAGAACUUAUAUUUUCACAAAGUUGAGUCUGCCUAUCCAUGAGCAUGGUAUGAUUUUCCAUUUAUGUUGGUCUAGUUUGGUUUCUUGCAGUAAUGUUUUGUAGUUUUCUUUGUAUAGGUCUUUUACGUCCCUGCUUAGAUUUAUUCCUGAGGAUUUUAUUUUUUAAGGGGCUAAUGGUAUUGUUUUCCUGAUUUCCUUGUCAUAGUUCUCUUUAUUAGGGUAUAGGAAUCCAACUGAUUUUUACGUUUUUAUCUUGUAUCCUGCUACUCUGAUGAAUUUUCUAUUAGUUCCAGUAAUUUUCUUGUGGAGUCUUUUGGGUUCUCUAUGUAUAGUAUCAUAUCAUCUGUGAAUAGGGAUAGUUUUACUUCUUCAUCACCAAUUUGGAUGACCUUUACUUCUAUUUUUGCCUUAUUGCUCUAGCCAUGACUUCCAGCAGAAUGUUAACUAGGAGUGGUGAUAAAGGGUAACCUUGUCUUGUUCUCAUUCUCAAGGGGAAUGUUUUCAGCCUCUCUACAUUGAGAAUGACAUUGGCUGUUGGUUUUGUAUAGAUGCCCUUUAUUAUGUUGAGGAAUUUCCCUUCUAUUCCUAUUUUAUUGAAAGGUUUUACCAGGAAUGGGUGUUGGUCUUUCUCGAAUGUGUUUUCUGCAUUGAUUGACAUGAUUAUGAUCACAUGAUUCUUUUCUUUUAUUUAUGUGGUGGUUUACUUUGAUUGAUUUUCUAAUGUUGAAUCAUCCUUGCAUACCCGGUAUGAAUCUGUCUUGGUCAUGGUGUAAUAUUUUUUUGAUAUGGGCUGAAUUCUAAUGGCUAGAAUUUUGCUGAGAAUUUUUGCAUCUAUACUCAUGAGAGAUACUAGUCCGUAAUUUUCCUUUUUUUGUGGUGUUUUUGCCUGGUUUUGGUAUCAGGGUGACGCUGGCUUUAUAGAAUUUUUUGAAAAUAUCCCUUCCUUUUCUGUGUUCUGAAAUAGCUAGAGUAGUGCUGGUGCAAACUCUUUGAAUGUUUAGCAGAAUUGUGCCAGAGGGGCACAGUGAAGCCAUCUGGGCCAGGACUUUUUGUUUUUGUUCUUGGGAAUUUUUAUCAUUAUUAUCUUUUUGAUCUCUUUUUAUAGAGAUUUUCUACUUCAGUUUGUGUUAGUUUAGGUAGGUAGUAUAUUUCUAGAAAUUUGUACAUUUCCUUUAGGUUUUCAAAUUUGUUAGAGUACAGUAUUUCUUAGUACUCUGUUAUGAUCCUUUUUAUUUCAGUUGGAUCUGUUGUAAUGUCCCCCAUUUCAUUUCUUAUUUAGGUUACUUACUUCCUCUCCUGUUUUCGUUUAGUGAGUUUGGCCAGUGGUUUGUCAAUUUUGUUGAUCCUUUCAAAGAACCAACUUUUGGUUUUGUGAUUCUUUCUAUUGUUUUUCUGUUUUAUUUCUGCUCUGGUCUUUUUUAUUUCCUUUCUUUUGGUGUCUGUGGGCUUCUUUUUCUGUUAUGUCUAUAUGUUUGAGUUGUAUAGCUAAUGUUUUGUUUUUGUCCCUUUCUUCUUUUGUGAUGUGUGCAUCUAUUGCUAUAAAUUGACCUCUGAGCAUUAAGCACUGCCUUUGCUGUGUCCCAAAGUUUUUUGAUUCUAGAAAUUUUUAGAUUCCAUCUUUGAUUCUUCUAUUACACAGUGGUUUUUAAGAAAAGUGUUCUUCAAUUUCCAUGUAUUUGAUUUUUUCCUUGCUCUUCCUGUUAUUAAUUUCUACUUCUAUGGCAUUGUGAUCAGAGAAUAUGCUUUGUAUUAUCUCAUUGUUUUGGAUUUGCUGAGGGUUUCUUUAUGCCCCAAGAUGUGGUCUAUUUUGGGGAAUGUUCCAUGUGCAUUGGAAAAUAAUGUAUACUUUGGUGUUGUUGGUGGUCUAACACAUAUUUUGGGGGGGCACAAUUCAGCCUGUAACCGGGAUGUCUCCUUAUGCUAUUGCCAUUGUCACAAGAAAAGUCUUAAGCAAUUGGAGCCAGAUGACAUGGUGGUCCUCAUAGCUCUCUUUGGGGAAGGUGUGCAGCUGGAAGGAGGCUUUUGUGGAUUUAAGCAGUGAAAGGAGGAGGUCAUGAGCAAAGAAUUCUGGUUGAAUUCUGAUCCUGGGUGCUCACAGACUUCUUGUAGUGAAGAUUACUGCCCCUGGUGAAUUCUGCCUGGGGACCAAGUGGGAAACCCACUGUGAUUAAGGGCUAUGCACGUGUUAUAAGAAUUGAUUCAUCUUGGCUGUCUUUAGGGUAAUGAGAUUGAGUUAAAUGUCAUUAGAUGUUGGUACUGUUAUUAGAAAAAGUAAAUUAAAUGUUGGUACUGUUUUUAGAAAAAUGGCUAAUUCAUGCAAAGCCUUUCACUAAAACAUAAUGGCAGUAGUGAAAAUAGUAAAUGGAUAUUAAAGUUAGAGUAAAUCAGUAACCUUCGGUGAAUGUGAGACAAGCAACAGCAGCAGCAGUAGCAGCAGCAGCAGUGUGCAGAGCUAGGGAAACAACACGGGGAUGUGAAAUAUGGGACGAAUGUCUGUAAAGCACACGAAUCAGCCGGGCCACCCUUUCGCCUUCCUUCCCUGGAUGUGUUAAACUUUGCCAAUAGAGGUGUGAGUUCCUUCUACAUCGUGCCUCUUUCAAACAAAGAGCAGUAACCUUAGAUAACAGUAAUUCGUUCUUAUGGAAAGUUGCCUAUUUUUAUCUCUAAAGGUGGAGAACUACUCACACUGCAAGGUCUUCAUGAAAACUUCUGCUCCUUGUGGCAAUAUCACAUGCUCACCAUGGUCUUGAGGAGACACUGCUGCCAUCAGCUCCCUGGUGAGGGAACUGUAGUGGAGUAGGAGUACCCACCACUAACCUAUGGCUCAAUGGGACUGCUCUGAGCAACCCAGCAAGUUUCUUAGCAGUUCUAGGAGAAAAGUUGAGACUGAUGAAGGUCAGCUUUAUUUCUAACAAGAACUGGAUUAGAGGAUGUGCUCGUAAGUGCAGCGACAAUAUGCUUCCUGAUACUGAAUAUGUGGUGACAUAGGUUUGUCCAGUCUGUUGGGCAAAAGGCAGCUGUGUGCAGAGGAGGCCACCUUCUGAACCCAAACAAAUCCAUCAGGUUUUCAGGUCUUUGCUGUGGAGGACUCUAGUACCAUCUUGGCUCCACCCCUCACCCUCAUUCCUGAAGGAGAAUUUUCCUAGGUAUAGUAUUCUUGGUUAACAGUGUUCCCCUAUGCUUUUGCUGGAGGCUUCCUUUCCUGCUCUGUAGUGGGCUAGUUUCAUCUGAGUUCGUGUUCAGAGGAAGCACAGUCAUGCUUUCCUCUGCAUCAGGAGGAGGAGGGGCUGUCACUCCCUAGAUGGACCUCCGAGAGAUCUAUCUUGUUGAUUUCAGAGCCCCAGCAGACUCUAGCUUCCUUCUGCCAUCACUGGAGAACUGUCCAAUGUCUUGCCAUGUGCCAUGGCCCCAACCAAAGCGCUGAAGCACAUAGCCCUGUACCAGGACAUAUCUGUAAGCACCACAGAACCUUGAAAAAUAUCAGGACCCAACCCCAAGUGGCACCACAUCUUUCCACACGUCAGGGCCACGUCCGAAGUGGUGCACCAGCUUGCUGUGUGCCAGGGUCCUGCAUUUAUCUUCCUCUGGAAAGGUACCUCCCUUUAACACUAUGCAGCCCGCAGUGGGAAAGGUCCCAUGCCAAUGCCACAGGCACUUCAUGGGAGCUUGACCCAUUCUACUCAGUGAUGGCAGAAAGCCUCACCCAGACAACUGGUAGCUCUGAAAUCAUAGUCAAAUCUCCUGGGCAUAAUAUCAGGAGAGCCUCUACCCUUGACCUUUCCAGAGGAACACAAAUAAUCCUGGGACUCUCUAGGUAGAUGCCUGACCACAGUCCUGGGAUGAAAAGCAGACCAUGGUUCAUGAACAGUCAGCUGUAAUGCAGAGAGGACUGGAAUCACAUCUGGUCAUUCUUCCUUGGACCAAACAGGAAACCUGCCAAACCAGUCAGAGGCUCUGUCAUCUGAAACAAAUGUCCUGGUCAAAACAUAAGGAGAGAGUAAAGUCUAGGAAACACCUAAUAGUUGCCUGACAGCUCAUCUAGGCCACAACACAAGACAGAAUAUGUGAAUGGUCAGCGUGGAUACAGAAAGAUGAGGGUGACGUAGUGUGGGUCAAGACACCUAGACAUGCCAACCUGGAACAGUGUGGCCAGACAAGCAUGACUAGGAUAGAAGUUCCUGUGAACCCCAGGAGGAAGCAACAAGGAAGAAGUGCAAUCUAAAGAGAAAGGGAAGAAGCCACUCUCCUGACCUACCCCCCCAAAAAAGAUAGAUUGAUAAGCAUAUAAAUAGAUAGAUAAAUCUUAAUAUCCUGAAGACAAAAAACAAUCACCAAGCACACAAAGAGACAAGAAAAUAUAGCUUAUGCAAAUGACUAAAACAAAAGGAUAGAAAUUGUCCCUGAGGAAGGACACGUAAUAGAAUUACCCAACAAAGAUUUUGAAAUAUUAGUAUUACAUGUGCUCAAAUAGAUAAGGGGAAGUACAUAAAAAGAUCAAAAGAAAAUCAGGAAAACAAUACAGGAGCAAAACAAGAAUGUCAAUGCAGAGAAAGAAAUUUAAAAAAAUUAGAAAUACUAGAACUUAAAAAUAAAAAAAUAAUAGAUGUGAACAACACCAUGAAAAGGCUCAGAAGUAGAAUGGAAAUGACAUAAGAGAGGACCAGCAAACUUUAUUGUUUCUCAGUCUGAGAAACAGAAAAAGAAAAAUGAACAAAGCAUAAGAGACAUGUGGGACACCAUCAGUAGUAAUAACUUAUACAUUAUGGGAGUGCCAGAAGAAGAAGAGAGAGAGAAAGGUUCAGAAAGAUAUUUCUGAGAAAAACAAUGGCUGAAAACUUGACGGCAACAGGUUUGGGUUUGGUUUUUAUUAACCAACUGGACCUAACAGACAUAUAUAGAGCACUCCCCCCAACAGCAGCACAAUAUAUGUACUUCUCUAGGGUACAUGGAUCAUUGUCCACAACAGAUCACCUUUUAGGACACAAGACAAACCUCAAUAAAUAUAUAAAGAUUGAAAUCAUGCAAAACAUCUUUUCAGACCAUAAUGGAAUGAAGCUAGAAAUCAACAACAGGAAGAAAAAAAAAAAGGAGGGGGGACUAAUACAUGGAAAUGAAAUAGCACACUACUAAACAGCCAAUGGAAACCCUGGUGGUAUAGUGGUUAAGAGCUACAGCUGGUAACCAAAAGGUCGGCAGUUUGAAUGCACCGUGAAUAUAAAUGGAUUAACUGCUCUAGAUAAGAGUAGAACUGCCCCAUAGAGCUUCCAGGAGCUCCUUGAAAUUCUAUGGUUUAGUUCUACUCUGUCCUCUAAGGUCACUAUGAGUCAGAAUCAACUAGUGGGUCUUGGUUUUUGGUAAACAGCCAAUGGAUCAUAGAAGAAAUCAAGAAAGAAAUAAAAAAUACUUAGAAUCUAACAAGAAUGAAAACACAACAUACCAAAACCUAUGGGACUCAGUGACGGCAGUGCUCAGAGGGAAAUUCACAGCCCUGAAUGCCUACGUUAAAAAAGAAGAUCCCAUAUCAACUGCUUGACUCUACAACUUGUAGGAAAUAGAAAAGGAAGAACAAAAGAAGCCAAAGCUACCCAAAUAAAGGAAAUAAAUGUAAGAGUAGAAAUAAAUAAAAUAGAGAAUAGAAAAACAACAGAAAGAAUCAGUGUGACCAGAAGUUGGUUCUUUGACUGAAUUACCAGGCUGAGGGCUGUAGGGAACAUGGUCUGGAGAAACAUCUAGCUCAACUGGCAUAUCAUAGUUUAUGAAGGAAAUGUUCUACAUUGGUGAGUAGCGUCUGGGGUCUUAAAAGCUUGUGCACAGCCAUCUAAGAUUCUCCUCUUGUCUCACCACAUUUGGAGCAAGGGAAAGUGAAGAAAACCAAAGAUAUAAGGGAAAGAUUAGUCUAAAGGACUAAUGGACCAGAACUACCACAGCCUCCACCAGAUUGAGUCCAGCACAACUAGGUUGUGCCCAGUUACCACUACUGACUGCUCUAACAGGGAUCAUAAUAGAGGGUCCUGGACAGGGACGGAGAAAAUGUAGAACAAAAUUCUAACUCACCAAAAAAAAGGAAGAAGACCAGACUUACUGGUCUGACAGAAACUGGAGAAACCCUGAGAGUAUGGCCCCAGGACACUAUUUUAGCUCAGUAAUGAAGUCACUCCUGAGGUUCACCCUCCAGCUAAAGAUUAGACACGCCCAUAUAAACAAAACAAGAUUCAAUGGGCACACCAGCCCAGGGACAAGGAUGAGAAGGCAGGAGGGGACAGGAAAACUGGUAACUGGAACCCAAGGUCUAGAAAGGGAGAGCGUUGACAUGUCAUGGGAUUAGAAACCAAUGUCGCAAAAAAUAUGUGUAUUAAUCAUUUAAUGAGAAACUAGUUUGCUUUGUAAACCUUCAUCUAAAAUACAAUAAAAAAAAGUUUGUUCUUCAAAAAGAUCAAUAAAAUAGACAAACCACUGGCUACACUGUCAAAGGAAAAAAUGCACGGGGGCAAAUAGCCAAAAUAACAAAAUUGGAGAUAUUGCAACAGAUCCAAUUGAAAUAAAAAGGAUCAUAAGAGAAUACUGUGAAAGUUAUACUCCAACAAACUAGAAAACUUAGAUGAAACGAACAAAUUCUUAGAAACACAUAACCUACCUAAAAUAACACAAAAAAGGCAGAAAUCUCAACAGACCCAAAAUGAGAGAAGAGACUGAAUCAGUUGUGAAAAACCUUCCAACCAAAACAAAAGAGCUUGGGACCAGAGAGCUUCAUUGGGGAAUUCUACCAAACAUUCAGAGAAAAAUUGACACCAAUCUUACCCAAACUGUAACAGAAAUACCACAAGUGGAUUGUCUUAACAAACGGAAAUUUAUUCUCUUGCAGGUUAGGAGGCUAGAAGUCCGAAUUCAGGAUGCCAUAUCCAGGUGAAGUCUUUCUUUCUCUGUUGGCUCUAGGGGAAAGUCCUUGUCAUCAAUUUUCCCUGGUCUAGGAGCUUCUCAGAGCAGGAAAGCUGGGUUCAAAGGAUGCUCUCUGCCUCUGACUCUCCUUGCUUGGUGGUAAGGAGGUCUCUCUCCCCUCUGCUCACUUGUCUCUUCUAUAUCUCAAAAGAGAUUGAGUCAAGAUGCAAUCUAAUCUUGUAGAGUGUGUCCUGCCUCGUAAACAUAACUGCCUCUAAUCCUGCCUCCUUAACAUCAUGGAAGUUAGGAUUUAUAACACGUAGGAUAAUUCUAUCAGAUCACAAAAUGGUGGAAAAUCGCACAACACUGGGAAUGAUGGCCCAGCCAAGUUGGCACACAUUUUUGGGGGACACAAUUCAAUCCAUAACUUGAUUUCUUCUCUAACUCAUUCUGUGAACCCAGCAUUACCCUGAUACUAAAGCCAAAUGAAGACAUCACAAGAAAAUAAAACUAGAGACAAAUGUCCCUCGUGAAUAUGGAUGCAAAAAUUCUUAACAAAAUUUUAGCAAACAGGAUCCAACAACAUAUUAAGGAAAUUAUAAACUAUGACCAAGUGAGAUUUAUUUCAGGAAUGCAAUGAUGGUUCAAGAUUAGAAAACCAACCAAUGUAAUACAGCACACUAAUUAAACAAAAGAACCACAUAAUCAUCUGAAUAGAUGUAGAAAAGACUUUUGAUAAAAUUGAAUACCCUUUCCUCAUAAAAACUCUCAACAAUAUAGAAAUGGAGAAAAAAUUCUUUAACAUGAUAAAGGAAAUCUAUGAAAAACCAACUGCCAACAUUAUACUCAAUGGAGAAAGACUGAGAUCCUUUCUCUUGAGAAUGAGACGUGGAAGCCUACAAUCACCACUUCUAUUCGAUAUCAUUCUGGAAGUCCUAGACAGAGCAAUAAGGCAAGAAAAAGAAAUAAAAUAUAUCCAAAUUGGAAAGGAAGAAGUAAAAUUAUCUGUAUUUGCAGAUGACCUGAUCCUACAUAUAGAAAACCUCAAAAAACCCAAAAGAAAGUUUUUAGAAUAGGAGAACUCAGCAAGGUCGCAGGUUAUAAGAUCAACACACAAAAGUCAGUGGAAUUCCUACACACAAUGAGAAAUCUGAAAUCAAGAAAACAAUACCAUUUACAAUAAAAAACAACCCAAACCUGUUGCUGCGGAGUUGAUUCAGACUCAUAGAGACCCCAUAGGACAGAGUAGAGCUACCGCAUAGGGUUUUCAAAGAGUGGCUGGUGAAUUCAAACUGCUGACCUUUUGGUUAGCAGCCAAAUGCUUAGCCACUGCACCACCAUUUACAAUACAACCUAAAAAAAAUCAAAAUACCUGGGAAUAAAACUACCUAGAGAUGUAAAAGACAUAUCCAAUGAAAACUAUAAAAUACUGCUGCAAGAGAGUAAAAUAGACCAAAUAAAUGGAAGAAUAUUCCAUGUUCAUGGACUGAAAGACUUAAUAUGGCAAACACUGGAAUACUACCAAAAGUCAUCUAGAGAUUCAACAAUCCUGAUCAAAAUCCCAACAGUAUUAUUUACAGAAAUGGGAAAACUUAUCUUUAAUUUUAUAUGGAAAGUAAAGAGGCCCUGAAUAGGCAAAGACAUUUUAAAGAAGAACAAAGUGGAGGCCUUACACUUCCCUAUUUAAAGCCAUAGUAUACAGCUACAGUAAUCAAAACAGCCUGAUACUGGUUUAAUGAUAGACACAUAAACCGAUGGAAUAGAGUUGAGAGCCCGGAAAUAAAUCCAAACAUCUACGAACAACUGAUUUUCAACAAGGGCACUAAGUCCGUUCAAUGAGAAAAGAUCACUGUCUUCAAGAAACAGUGCUGGCAAAUUUUGAUUUCCACAUGCAGAAAAAUAAAGCAGAACACAUACCUCACACCAUACACAAAAACUAGUUCAAUAUGGCUCGAGGACCUAAAUGGUAAAAUUAAAACUCUAAAGUUCUUGGAAGAAAACAUAGGGGAAAAACUAUGGGAUCCAGUUCUCUUUAAAAAUAUACUAUCAAAUACAACAAUAAAUUCUUGAGCAACAGGAAACCAAAUAGAUAAUUGGGACCUCAUUAAAAUUAAAUUCUCGUGUUUACGAAAGGAGUCAAAAGACAACCUACAGACUGGGAAAAAAAGUCUUUGGGAACCAUAUAUUCAGUAAGGGUCCAGUAUUGAUAGAUAGAUGAUAGAUAGAUAGAUGAUAGAUAGAUAGAUAGAUAGAUAGAUAGAUAGAUAGAUAGAUAGAUAGAUAGAUAGAUAGAUAGAUAGAUAGAUAGAUAGAUAGAUGAUAGAUAGAUAGAUAGAUAG